AUGACCGAGGUGGUGGUACAGCUGCAAGAGUGCAUCGAGCUUGAGACUGCGCGCUGCAGCGGUGGCAGCGCGAAUCCUAAGUUUUACAUGGCGAGUAGCAGCGACCCAUUCUCAAGUUAUAAUCGAUACGCCACUAACCAGUCUGCUAGUGUGAGUCAUAGCAAUGAUGUAUUUGAGGUGGAGCGUUUAGGCAGGGUUCUAACCAUGACUAUUGGUCCUGUCGCCAGGUGA
rnacentral:rRNA from 1 species